rnacentral:misc_RNA from 1 species
GAAGUGCGAUAAGCAAUGCGAAUUGCAGAAUUCCGCGAAUCAUCAGAUCUUUGAACGCAAAUGGCGCCAGAGGGAUAUCCUUCUGGCAUGUCUGUUUCAGUGUCUGAGAGGUUUCACACUUACCUUAAUGUGAUUGAACUGAGUUAGUUAGUUAGUUUAUACUUACUUUCUCUUUUCUCUCAUGAAAGAUGCGCGAGGGGAUCUUUCGGUCCAAUGAAGUGGUCACAUCACUCGAAUGUGAUUUCAUUGGAAGCACCGAAUUAUCAAUAUUAACUCGCGGUAUCAUUUUACUAGCUAAUAAUGAUGUCUUAUCAUCAUCAUUAUUACUACUCUCUACACCCUGCAUCUGAGAUAGGCAAGAUCACCCGCUGAACUUAA